UCGAGGGCAUCGUUUAAUGAGAAAACACGGUGGGAAGUUCCUCUGUACGCCGACGGAAAGCCGAAACGGUGCAGCGUUCCCUCGGUGUAAAGGAUCCACUGCACCGCAGAGUUCGGAUGGCUGUGGCCAGCCAGGAGCACUGUGGGCAAUAGGGAUUCUGGUUUUCCCCAGUGGGUGCAAGAGCGUGGCCCAGCUCUCCCAUCCAUGAGAACUUGGAGUGGCGUCACCUUGAUUCCAUCUUUUCCACUCCAAAGCUCAGUUUGCUCGGAGCCAUUUUGUGGUGCUGAAGAUGCCUGGCAGCCAAAUUGCUUGGGAUUGGACUCUGCUAUGGGAGGACUGAUUCAGCUCAUAGGUGCUAAAGCCUCUAACGCCAAGAAAUCGUGGAAAUAGCUGAUGAACUGCUGCCCCUUAAUUGAUGUGGGGGAUUAUGUGGCUGAGGAAAAGGGACACGCAGCUACUGUAGAUCCUAAGAUUCACACGCGGUUGUGCUUAAUUCGUGACAUAAGACGUGCAAUGGAUCUGCAAAGAACAGAAUGGUACAAACGAUGAAGUGAUAACAUCACGAUGAGUUCAGUGGUGUUUGCUCCUUGCUCCACUUGUCACUAGUUUGCGUGCACUCCUUGGAGGCUGAUGGAGAUCACAGAAUCAUAUCUUCCUGAUAUGAAAAAGCCCUCUAAGAUCCCUGAGACCCCCAACCCCCCCGUGCCCACUGCCCACCCCUCAGUGCCACAUCCCCGCAGCUCUGAACACCUCCAUGGACGGGGACUGCCCACCCCUGGGCAGCUGUGCCAGCGCCUGGCCGCUCUCUGGAGCAGACAUUGCUCCUAAUGCCCCACCUGUCCCAGCAGCACUGGAUCACUGUGGGACCCAAGUGCAUGUUAGGAGGCAGAUGAAUGAGGCCUCAUUGUGUGGCCACUAAUUAUUGUCUGAGAUGCUGACGUUCUGGUGAUGUAGGUACCCCUUUGCCCCUCCCUUAUGAUUAGAUUUUAUGAGCUCUAUAGGAGUAGAAUUACUGUUAAAACAAAGCAUGGGAGAAAGGGCUGAGACGUGUGAUCCAUGUGCAUCUCAAAGGGCCGCGGGGAAUCACUCUGGAUGCAGUGUAAAUCACAGCACAGGCAUCAUUUUCUUGAAGAAGUGCUGUGUGAGAGGGGGAGAUUCAGCACCCAUUGGUUGUGAUGGGUGGAGAGAGCUCUGUUGGAGGAGUGCACAUAAUGAGGUUUCCUGCAGAGCACAGAGUGAACCUCUAAUGGUGUGAUUUUUCCCUCUGUAGGGCAGGUUGAUCAGAUGUGCAGGCAGUCUGGUUGAUCCUUUGUACAACACUGUCUUUCCUUCACAAAAUUACUACAGAGGAAAUGGAUCAGUCACUUAUUUCUCUUUCUGUCAUGCAGACUUCAAUCUUCUCUCACUUCUUUUGCCUUUCUCACUUCUUUUAGUUUCUCUUUAUUUUAUUUUCUUUGCAAAUACGCACUGCACAGCAGCCAGAGAUGAGAGCACCCAAGGAGCAAUGCUAUGGGAAAGAAGAAGAAAACCUUCCCAGUUCCUGAUUUUUUUUAUUAUCCGUGAUGUUUUUGAGCGUCUUCCCCUGAAACUUUAAUGCUGCCCAAAUCAGAGGAGCUGCCUUUGCUGUGUGUGCAUCCUGCAUUGCGCCGUGUCCUACUUAACAGCACACUCACCUUCAUCAAAGAGGUUGGCAAGUGAUGUCCUGAUUUGGCGUAUGCAUUGAAUAUUCAGCUUCCUACUUUGAUAACGCAGUGAGUAAUUCUGGAAAAUACUGUAAUAAUAAAGAUGGCUUUGAGCAUGUGGCCAAGCACCCACUGGGAUAGCCAGUGCGUGGUACAGCCUCUGCCAUAGUGCUGAUCAGUGCGAUGCCUCAACAGAAGUUGCCUCUCUCAACACUGCGGUGUCCUAGGAGUGCUCUGAUGUACGGUACAAAAAGGAAUUGAAAAAGCAAGAUGAUGAAAAAUGAGUGGAUCCUAUCAAUUAUUUACCCUUCUCAGGGCCUGGGCUACAUUGCAUUAUGCAGAUGUGAAAGCGCUUGUGUGAGAACUUGGUCUGCAGCAAGAUCACUUGGUACUGGGCAUUAAUGCAGUGACAUAAUUCCUGAGCACAUAAUCAGUCAUGGGGGGCCGUGGAGCAGUAUGUUGAAAAGCACCCAUUCCUUCUUGUAAUAAAAGCAUAUUAAGUUUGAAUCAUGGGUCUAUGGGUGGUGCCAAAAUGUGUGCAGCAAAGAAUUUUAGUAACAUGGCUAUGGCAGAUGAGGUUUGAGAUCUUUCGUAUUCUUGAAAAGGGGGUUACGUAUUAAUAUACAAUAUUCCAAAGGCUUAUUUAAAGAAAGAAAAGAACCCAUAGGAAGGCUGAGGGAGUUGAGUGCAGUACUUGGGCCCUAACCCAGCUCACUGUCCUCAGGGUGCAAUAGAAUGUGUGAGGCUGCAGUGACUGAGACCACGUGCUUGUCCCCGGGUUGUCACCCUAACACACUGAUCAUGUUAACACAAAGCACGCCUUCAGCUCGCACUGCCUCUCAGUUUGUUUGCAUUUGCUUUAGACUUUGUAGGCCUGGGUCACCACCAGGGGCGCGUCACUCAGCUGGAUGAAUUCACCCAAGAAGGAAGGCUUGAGUUGAGGAGUUAAGUUGGAGCUGACAGUGUUUCUGGCCAGCAGCUUUGCUUGACUCUCCGGGGAGAAAAGCAAUCGUAGACAAAGCAGCAAUGGAAUUAAUCUGCAACGAAUGAAAGGACUGGGAUUCAAGGACUCUUCUCCUGGUAGGUGGGAGCAGGGAACUAAAAUUGUGUUACUGGUGCUGGGAACACCUCCUGUGUUGGCAAACACUGAAGGUUGACCUUGAUAGGGUAGGGUUGGUCAGGGGUUUGGAUGUGUGUAUUGUUCAGGACUGGGUUGCCCAGGCUCCUUCUAAUGACUUGACUUGAGAAAUGAAAGGCUACAAUGUGCAGAGAAUUUCUUGCUGCCCAAUGCAUACGAGGUCAACAGGACACGUGUAAUGGUCAGGAGUACUUGUCAGUAACGUGAGUAAGCCAUAGAGGAUGAAGGUUUUUAAUAAGUUCUUUCUGUGAAAGAGAGAUGUGUCCAGUCCCUUCUGUGUGGCUCUGACAUGGAGGAGCACCUCGAGCUGCAGCACACACUGACCAUAUUGAUACCUCAUAUUGUAACAGCUGAAUGUCAGCUGAACCAGUAUGAAAAUGAGUCCUAUCCCAAAAGAAAGAGGGGUAGCCUUGGGGAAUCUCCAUUAGGAAUUUUCUCUGGACAUUUUUCUCCUUUAAGAGCCAAGCAAAAGUGUUCUGUAAAAUGUAAUCGUCGCUGAUUGUGCAGUUCUUGCUGAAACUGGGAGUGCUUAAAUAAGUAUUCAGCUAAUGAUCAUUGUUUCUUAAUUGCCAAGAAGGCUUACUGAAGGGAUAUUUAAAUAUUGUAGUAAUUCAUUCUUUAAUUUAGUUAGCCAGACAUUUGUAAAACCAAGUCAUACAUCACAGGGGGUUAUGAUAAUACAGGCAAUGUGAUAAAAAGGAAUGAAAAAGUACAAAAGAUGAGUAGGAAGAUGAAAAUGCCCACAGAAGGAACAGACAUGGAGGCUGCUUUGGGUCAUUGUGCAUUCUGUUGUUACAGCAGUAAUUAAACAUUUCCUUCCCGUCCAGUCCAUUUCAUAUGAUGCUCUUUCUUCCCUUACAUCUCCUUAAAUAUUUUAUAGGUGUUCAUUAGGUAUGAUUUUCUCCAAACCACUUCAAAAACACAGCAUCACUUCAUAAAGGUAUUUAACCUGCAGUGUUCCCUUAGUCCUGGGCCUUUCAUUUCAUAGAAUCACAGAAUCAUAGAAUGGCCUGGAUUGAAAAGGACCACAAUGCUCAUCCAGUUCCAACCCCCUGCUAUGUGCAGGGUCGCCAACCAG
ensembl:lncRNA